GCGCUGGCGCAGGAAACUGCUCUUCCGCCUCCGCCACGUCGUACAGCGCCUUGGCACCCGCGUCUGGGGGCUCAGCCCCUGCUGGGCUAGCGCUAGCACAGCUCGCGCCACCCACGCCCCCAGACGCCCCUGGGCCCGCGCUGCCCGCGCCGGUGCCCAGCCCGCGGCUUUCCGUGCUCUUGGGGAAGGGCUUGAUGACGGCCGUUUGGUUGGGGUUCUCUUUCUUGUUGAUGUGGACCGACAGCCGCUGCCAUAGGUGCUGUCCCCUACUCUUCUCGUUCUGGGCCCACGUGACAGAUUUUCCAUUAGAGCUGUUGAGAGAAAGAGAAGAGAGAUGACUCAGCGAGGUCUGAAGGGGUCUUCCAGGUGGCUUCCCCAAUGGUGACCACUAACUUCUGCAUCAUGGCACAGAAGAAAUGGGCCAGGUUAUUCAUGGGAUUUGAUUGAGAGGAUGGUUGCCAACUACUCCCUUUCUCUGCUACCUGCAGUUAGACCUCCUUAAUCCACAGAAGAAAACCUCAGAUGAUAUCUGGAGAUGAUAUGUGUUUAAACUAGGGGCCUAAGAGAAGUGAAAGUCUUAGCUUUCUCCUUCAUGCCUAGAAAGAAGGCAGGGUUACUCUUGACAAUACCCAAAAUAUGGGAAAUCAGCCUACGUGCAUAUACUGGAGUUUUACUUAGCCAUAAAGAAGAAUGGCAGUUGCUGGUAAAUGGAUGGAAAUAAAGAACAUCAAGCUACGUGAAAUAAGCCAGAAACAGGAAAUCAAAGGUGGAGUGUUUUCUCUCAUAUGUGGAAACUUAAGCAAAACCAAAUAAAAAAGGUGGGAGGAUCAGAUAUCAUAAAGGCAUAAGUUUUAGAAUAUAAAACAAACAACAAUAACACCACUUAUAAUUUUAUCAAAUACUUUAUUUGGGUAUCUAUUUGUAAAAAAAAUAGAAUUAUUGUAUAAUAUGAUUUGGAAUUUGCCUUGUGUCACACAAAUUUGGUAUAAAUUGUUUUCUAUAAAAUUUAACCCUUGAAACAACAAAAGAAGAUAUAGGGAAGAUUAUUAGAGUAGAAGAAGGAUAGCAAGAGAGGAGAGACAGAAAAGGGGAAGAAAUGAGGAAUUAAUUUUGAAAAAUCACACUAUGUGCACAUAUGGAUAUACCACAGGGAAUUUCACCUUUAAGCAUAAGUAGAAAGAAACAAACAAAAAUAAACAGACAGAUGGGUAAUACCAGUGUCUCAGAAGGCUGAGGCAGGAGGAUUGCCAGUUCAAAGCCAGCCUCAGCAACUUAGUGAGGCCCUAAGCAAUUCAGCAAGACCCUGUCUCUGGAUAAAAAUAUAAGAAGAAAGGGCUGGGAAUAUGGUCCAGUAGUUAAGUAUCCGCUGAGUUCAAACCCAGGUACCAGAAAAAAAAGAGGGGGUGUGAACAUUCUCAAUGAAAGAAUUAAUUAAUCAGAAGGAAAAAAAGAUGGUAUUUCAGGGAAGAACUAUAGAAAACAGGGGGAAAGAGGAAACACCACAAUCGGGAUCUAUAUCAUCUGGUUUUCUUUCUUUGAGGCUUUUUUUAAUCCCUUCUCAACAAUGAGAGUGCUGUAACUGACCAAUGAAUGCUGAUUUCCAUAUAAUUGCUUCUUUUUUUGUGUACCUCUAGUGUCCCCUCCAUAGACUUAAAUACUUAUAACUCUUAACUGACAUUUGUUUGUAUCUCUACUAUGAGGAGAGGAGUUAUGUGUGGGAAGGACAGUAUUUUAUUCAUUUUUAUAUGUCCCUUUCUUAAAAUGUCAUCUAGCCAUGUGGGAAAUAAUGGUCCUCAACAGAUGCUACCUGUUCAUUAUUGCUGGGGUAAUAACCAUCACUGAGCAGGGAAUCCUGCUUUCUUUGACAUCUGGCCAACUAUUCUCUUUUCCAGACCAUGUGGUUUUGAUGCCUGGUGCACAACUUAGGCCUUUCUACUUCUUAUCUUGUCGGCUACAUUUAAUUCACUAUGUUUAACUUCUGUUUCAUUCUCCAUGAAUGUGUGCAUUGCCCCCUUGUGUUUCCUUUUGUCAAGCUCCUCAAGAGCCCCUGAUCUGGCAUUUCUCCCCCUCCUGUGAGGCUUUGCUGCCCUCUAGGGGGCCUUGUAUCAUAUACAUCUCAGGACCCAGGGGACCUGCACUUGUCAGCACAGUCCUGGUAGCCGUGUCACUCCCCAGCCAAAUGCUAGGAAUCUUUAACCUAUUCCUACAUGCCCCAGUUUAGAAACCUGUGGUCGUAUAGCCUAUUCAGUUCAGGAACACAAACCAAGCAUAAGCAAGUAAGUGGGGUGCCAAGAACUGCCCAUUACAAAUAAAGGUUUGUUGGAGGCUUGCAUGGGGUUUCAGUGCUCUUGGUACCAACAGUGUCCCUGGCUAUGAGUGUCCCACCUGCAUCCUGGUAUCUUGAAUAUGAUAACAAAGUUUAUGCAAUGGAAUCCAUCAAUGAGAGUGCUAUAAAUGACCAAUGAAUGCUGAUUUCCAUCCUUGCUUGGUCCAGGGAGACAAAGAACUUCCUCAAAGAGAUGGAGCCUGCCAAGCACAUAUACCUGUAAUAUCUGUAGCUGAGGAGGCUGAGGUAGGAGGACUUCAAGUUCAAAGCCAUCCUCAGCAAUGGUGAAGCACUAAGCAACUCAGUGAGACCCUAUCUCUAAAUAAAAUACAAAAUAGGGCUGGGGAUGUGGCUCAGUGGUCAACUGCCCCUGAGUUCAAUCCCUGGUAGUCCCCAAAAAGAAAAGAGAUGGAACCUGUGAGCACUUUUCAUUAAUUCCCAGAAACAAUUGGUUGCAUGCCUGAUGUUGACUCUUAACCAUUCUCCUUGGCAUCUCUGUAACUGUUGGCCACUCCCUUCAUUUUUGAAGUAUUCUUUUUUUCCUUCAAUAGUACCAUUGAUCAUCUGGGUCUCAGGUGAUUCAGGUGAUACUAACCUAAAAAUUCUUUGUCCAGCUCUCAGAUUUUAUUUACCUCGUCUCUGGGCUCUUUCCACGAUUCUCCUAAAUUGUGCUUCAAAUCCCAAAGUCUAAUUUUUCAAAGGUUUCCUAGCAGCUUCUUGGAUUUUUCCACUUAGAUGACUCUCAGAAGUCUGGAAUUUAACAAUUCCCAAACCAAAUACAUCUUUCUUCAAACCUGUUCUCUUUUAUUCUUACCACCCCAUCUCAAUUUUUUUCUCAUUGAAUCAUAUCAUCAUCGAAUACAGAUGCUCCCCUAAUUCUACCCUUUUCAUUUUAGACUUCAGUCAGGACUUCUCCAAGCUCAUAGGACAAAUUAUUUCAAACUGAAUUCUUCAAAUUUAAUUAUUGAUUAUCCCCUUAAAAUAUCUCCUUCCCAAGACUGAAUUGCACUGGUUCAAAUACUAUUAAAUAGAAAAAACCUAUCAAUCAUCUUUAAUUUUUUAAAUUUCCUUUACACAUAAUAUCAAAUCAAUCAUUAAGACGCAUCAUUGUAAUUUCUAGUUGAAGUGAUCAGCCUCUUAAAUCAGAUGAUUUUCUCACUUCUCUUCUCCUUGUUCUGCCUUCUAUUCUAUCUAUAGAAACCAGAAGGCUCUCUUUCACAUACUAUUCUUAUCAUGCAAUUUCUCUUCUCAAACAUUCUGAUAUUUCCUUUCACACUCAAAACAAAACAAAAUCUGCACCUCACCUGGUCUGAUCCCUGAAGACCACUGUACAUUUUCCUCCUUCCAUCAUUUCCUUUUGUAGCGAUACUCCAACCACAAGGACUUUUCUGCUCACCCUCUAAAAUGCCAGUUUGGUUCCUACCUUAAGGUCUUUUCCUUUGCUCUUCUCUCUCUCUCUACCACCCAGAUCUCUGUGUUCUUAUUUCACUCUUCUCUGUCUUCAAUGUAUUCAUAGAGGCUGCUUGGGAUACCGUUUCUUUUUAAAAUUUACCCUUUUUAGUUAUAUACAACACAAGGUUACACCCUGCCAUUAUCACAAAAGCAUGGAACACAACCUGCUCCAAUUAAGUCCCAGCACUACCCCACCACCCCCACACCACUGCUAGCUCCUUCUACUUCAGAAUACCAUUUCUAAAAAUAUAUGAAAUCACUCCCAAUUCACCUCACUCUAGUAUCUCAUCUUGCUUAAUUUUUCUUUAUAGCAAUUAACAUUAUGCAUCUGUUUAUAGUUUAUUGUCAUUGUCUCUAUUGUUGAAGUUCUGUGAGGGUUGAGAUUUUGUUUUGUUCACCACUUUAUUUUUAAAACUUAAAACAUUUCCUGGUAAAUAGCACAUUAUCAGGAAUAACUGCCAGUGUACUAGUGAGUAAAAUCAGUGUUAUGGUUUGAAUUAAGAGUCCCCCCAAAGCUCCUGUUUAAUGUAGGAAUAUUCAUCUUUCAGAUGAUUAGAUUAUGAGAGCUGAAACUAAUAAGUUCAUCCUACUUUGAAGGGACUGACUGACUGGUGGUAAUUGCAGGCAGGUGAUGCAUAGCUAGAAGAGGUAGAUAACUAAGUGCUUUCCUAGGAAGCAUGCAUCUUCCCUGUGACCCCUUCUCACUCCUGCUACUUCCUGACUUCACUAUGAUCUGAGUACAGGGACCUUCUCCCAUGAUGUGCUCCCUUACCUUGGGCCCAGAGCAAGAGAGCCAGCCAUCUAUGGACUAAGACCUUUGAAACUGUGAGCCUAAUAAACUUUUCCUUCUCUAAGUUGUUGUUGGGUAUUUUGGCCAAAGCAAUGGGACAGUUGACUAAAACAAGAUAUUAAAA